rnacentral:rRNA from 1 species
UACGUAGGGGGCAAGCGUUGUCCGGAAUUAUUGGGCGUAAAGAGCGCGUAGGCGGUCCGAUAAGUCGGCUGUGAAAGUCAGGGGCUCAACCCUUGGAAGCCGGCCGAUACUGUCGGACUAGAGUCCGGAAGAGGCAAGUGGAAUUCCCGGUGUAGCGGUGAAAUGCGUAGAUAUUCGCAAGAACACCAGUGGCGAAGGCGGCUCACUGGCCCGGUACUGACGCUGAGGUGCGAAAGCGUGGGGAGCAAACAGG